ensembl:snoRNA SNORA62 Small nucleolar RNA SNORA62/SNORA6 family
AUUGCACACUAUUAAAACCUGGCACUGCUGUUGGUGUUUGGGUGUCGGAAGUGUGCUAAAUAAAUCUGGCCGGGUUUUCGCUAACACCAUGAGGGCUUUAGCCCCAUGACUGGGGUUUGAUAGUGACCUGAGCCACAUUG